CGCGCCCCGCAGCGCCACCCAGCGGCAGCAGACGGAACGAGGGUGCUGGAAAUCCAAGCACUGGCGGAACCCGGCACCUCUGGACAGGAGACCCUUCAGUAGAACAAAUAACAGCAUAAGGAUUAGAGCUACAACAAGGACUCAAUUGAACAGCUGCCUAUAGACCACAGAGGGAUUCAAAGACAUCCAAGGAAUGCAAAAAAAAAUUUACUUUGAAGCACAGUUAAUUAGCACUGGGAAUUAGGUAAUGAAGGGCAACCCUUCCACCAUACAAAAGCAUUCAGGGUUCUUUUGAAGACCCUGACCUGGAGUUGCACCCUGACUUCAGUUCUUUGCGGGAAUGGGACCAGCUCUCAGAGUCUCCCAACUGGCUGCUAUUCGAUAUGCCAAGAACGUGGCCUAGAGGACUAGCAUACCUUCAGGGUUCUGGGAUUUCACAGCUCUGGAGCAUGUUAUAGUACAGGAUGAAAUGACCUGAGCAAAUGCAGUGCAGAAGGAUGUCUCCCCCGGAAACUGCAUGGAGAUGGAAAACUCACUGGCUGGACAAAGGGAAUAUUCUGUGACAACUCAGGCUCGCCUUUAAUUUACUAGUAUCGCACUAGUCCCCAUUUGUCUGAUUAUUGCAUGAACAUUCAAGGAAGCAUGGAUUGUUAUUGCUACAACACCAAUAACCACCAACAUUACAUUGAUUUUAAUAGGAAAUAUUUAAAAUGAUAACACAAAGCUACAAAUAUCCAUUUUAAAUACUAACUUUUCUCUUGACAAU